UACGUAGGGUGCGAGCGUUGCCCGGAUUUAUUGGGCGUAAAGGGCGCGUAGGCGGUCACGCACGUCCGUUGUGAAAUCGCUCGGCUCAACUGGGCGGGGUCAGCGGAUACGGCGUGGCUGGAGCAAGCUAGGGGGCAAUGGAAUUCCCGGUGUAGUGGUGGAAUGCGUAGAUAUCGGGAGGAACAUCUGUGGCGAAGGCGACUGCCUGGACCAGCACUGACACUGAGGCACGAAAGCGUGGGGAGCAAACAGG
rnacentral:rRNA from 1 species